UACGGAGGAUGCAAGCGUUAUCCGGAAUGAUUGGGCGUAAAGCAUCCGCAGGUGGCGAUUCAAGUCGAUUGUCAAAGGUCGUGGCUCAACCACGAACAGGCAGUGGAAACUGAACAGCUAGAGUGCGGUAGGGGUAGAGGGAAUUCCCGGUGUAGCGGUGAAAUGCGUAGAGAUCGGGAAGAACACCAGUGGCGAAAGCGCUCUGCUAGGCCAAGACUGACACUGAGGGACGAAAGCCAGGGGAGCGAAUGGG
rnacentral:rRNA from 1 species